rnacentral:lncRNA from 1 species
CCAUUAGUGGAGAAAAUUGUAAACAUAUGGACAUAGAAGAGCGUGACUAGGCGCAUUUCAACGUACUAAAUAAUUAUGAAGAAAUCUAUCAUUUCAUGGAGUAAGUACUUUCAUAUAAUCAAUUGUAGGAAUCAGAUCUAGGGUUUCAGGGUUAGAUCUUGAAACUUUUUCAAGAUCAUACAGCGGAAGACUAAAAUAAAUCAAAAUUAUUUUCUAAAAUCAGAGAAUCCCUAGAUCUAAGAUCCUAUUACAUGAUUAUUACAUAGCAUUAAAUUAAAAAUUAAAAUAUAUAAAUAUAGCAUGAACUACAUGUUGAUCAUAUCAACAUGUUUCUAUACUACAUCAAUGUAUGUAUUAAACAAUAGAUCAGAUCUAUUACCUUGCAAGUUAGACGUUCUAACCUCACUGAUCCAGGCUUGAGGAUGAUGUUGUAAGCCGCACACACAUCCGACCUCUAGGAGUCAUCCACACGAGCCCACGAAUCUCGAUCGGAAGUCCUGCUUCAGGAAAUCAGCACAGUAUGAUAGUACUGCGCUGAUCCUUCUUUGAUGGUUGAUCAGGCACCUCCUUCUUCUUGAUUUGGACUCUUCCAA